rnacentral:rRNA from 1 species
AAUAGACACCCGGGUAGUCCACGCCGUAAACGAUGAGUGCUAAGUGUUGGAGGGUUUCCGCCCUUCAGUGCUGCAGCUAACGCAUUAAGCACUCCGCCUGGGGAGUACGGUCGCAAGACUGAAACUCAAAGGAAUUGACGGGGGCCCGCACAAGCGGUGGAGCAUGUGGUUUAAUUCGAAGCAACGCGAAGAACCUUACCAGGUCUUGACAUCUCCUGACCGCCCUGGAGACAGGGUCUUCCCUUCGGGGACAGGAUGACAGGUGGUGCAUGGUUGUCGUCAGCUCGUGUCGUGAGGUGUUGGGUUAAGUCCCGCAACGAGCGCAACCCUUGGUUCUAGUUGCCAGCAUUCAGUUGGGCACUCUAGAGCGACUGCCGGCGACAAGUCGGAGGAAGGUGGGGAUGACGUCAAAUCAUCAUGCCCCUUAUGACCUGGGCUACACACGUGCUACAAUGGAUGGUACAAAGGGCAGCGAAGCGGCGACGCAUUAGCGAAUCCCAGAAAACCAUUCUCAGUUCGGAUU